GUGAUGUUAAUUUUCUUUAUAUACUGUGCUUGUUUGUAUUGUGGCGAGUAGAGGAGCCAGUAGCUGAGGAUCCUGGUGACCAGCAGAUAGAAGUUGUUGAGCAGGAGCUCAUUGAAGGCAAGUUGUGCCCUUGAUCACUUAUUUUUACCCAGUCAUGUUCUUAUUAAUCAUAAUGAUCUGCAUAGGUUAAUUUUGAUGGGACCCAAUAGGCCACCCUAGUCUGUUUAUACUUUUUACCUUGUUUACCCCUGAAUCACUUGGGUAGUUUUGCUACUGCUUUAUAUGGUUUUUGGUUCAAUAGUUCAUUACAUCUAUGUUCCAAUUAUGCUGUUAUGUUAUUUAUGUUCAUGAUAAGAUCAUUAUGUUAAUGAGAGCAUGGAGAACCACUCGAGAAAACGUGCCACCACAAGGAAGAAAUGGGACCCCUUGGCUAACUAAUUAGGAAAGCUAGUGGAAGACUACCUUACCCGAAAGGGGCAAGGGCAGUAGGGGAGUUGCAUGCAGGGAGGUUCUCGGGUUGAUUUUGCUGCGAUGGCGGUCAGACAGGGGAUUCUUGCAAAUGCUCUUCCCAUAAACUGUAGCGGGUUUUCUGAAGCUAGUGGAACUUUGUAAAGGCCUCAUAGUGUUACCCUGCCUCGCCUCCUCAGUAGAGGUGUAUGAGAUUGGCCGUCUCUUGGCAGAUGGGUAACAUGACUUGUGGGUACAGGGUACAACCUCUGCAGAGUGUAAAAUUGGUAUACUAGACGUGCUCACGGUCAUGAGCGACCCAGACACUCAC
rnacentral:lncRNA from 1 species